rnacentral:rRNA from 1 species
CGGCGGACGGGUGAGUAACACGUGGGCAACCUGCCUUGUAGAGGGGAAUAGCCUUCCGAAAGGAAGAUUAAUACCGCAUAACAUUACAUUUUCGCAUGAAGAAAGUAAAUUUAAAAGGGGGCAAUCCGCUACAAGAUGGGCCCGCGGCGCAUUAGCUAGUUGGUGAGGUAACGGCUCACCAAGGCGACGAUGCGUAGCCGACCUGAGAGGGUGAUCGGCCACAUUGGGACUGAGACACGGCCCAGACUCCUACGGGAGGCAGCAUG